UACGUAGGGGGCAAGCGUUGUCCGGAUUUAUUGGGCGUAAAGAGCGUGUAGGCGGCCAGGUAGGUCCGUUGUGAAAACUGGAGGCUUAACCUCCAGCUGUCGAUGGAAACCAUCUGGCUAGAGUCCGGAAGAGGAGAGUGGAAUUCCUGGUGUAGCGGUGAAAUGCGCAGAUAUCAGGAAGAACACCCGUGGCGAAGGCGGCUCGCUGGGACGGUACUGACGCUGAGACGCGAAAGCGUGGGGAGCGAACAGG
rnacentral:rRNA from 1 species